GAUGAACGCUGGCGGCGUGCUUAACACAUGCAAGUCGAACGGAAAGGCCCAAGCUUGCUUGGGUGCUCGAGUGGCGAACGGGUGAGUAACACGUGGGUGAUCCGCCCUGCACUUUGGGAUAAGCCUGGGAAACUGGGUCUAAUACCGGAUAGGACCAUCGUUUAGUGUCGGUGGUGGAAAGUUUUUCGGUGUGGGAUGAGCUCGCGGCCUAUCAGCUUGUUGGUGGGGUAAUGGCCUACCAAGGCGUCGACGGGUAGCCGGCCUGAGAGGGUGUACGGCCACAUUGGGACUGAGAUACGGCCCAGACUCCUACGGGAGGCAGCAGUGGGGAAGAUUGCACAAUGGGCGCAAGCCUGAUGCAGCGACGCCGCGUGGGGGAUGACGGCCUUCGGGUUGUAAACUCCUUUCGCCAAGGACGAAGCGUUUUGUGACGGUACUUGGAGAAGAAGCACCGGCUAACUACGUG
rnacentral:rRNA from 1 species